rnacentral:tRNA from 1 species
GCCUCGAUAGCUCAGUUGGUAGAGCUUCAGACUUUUAAUCUGAGGGUUCAGGUUUCAAAUCUGGGUUCAGGUG